rnacentral:lncRNA from 1 species
GCCGAGGAGCGGAGCCACAAGGCCCCUUGGGAUUCCGCGGGGUGAGAUCUUUCUGGAAGCCGUGCUGAGAGGGGGCCGGACGGAAGAGCGAGCCGGGGAGAAUCUGGGCAGACAGACAGACCCCCCGGGCAGGUGUGACUCUGCAGAGGAAAUGAAGUUGGUCCUCGGGCUCCUGCUGUCCAUGGCAUGGGCAGUGCUCCAAGCAAACAUCACCCUGACUGGAAAGCAAAUAUUUCUGACGUGUCAUGUGUGUGAGGAGGUCAAUACUUUUACCUGCAAGAAUCCAGAGAAGUGCAAUGUAGGAGAUGCAUUCUGCAUCACCGUGGGUACCAGGCUGACCAAUCGCUACUUGCUUGUUUCCAAGCAGUGUCAUAAAUUGUGCCCAUUUUUGGAUUACUAUUAUCAAAAGUUUUCAUACGAGAAAGAAUUUCCGAGUGCUUUUGUCUAUUCCCAUUGUUGUGCUGAGAAUUUAUGCAACUUUGGCAUCCCCUUCACCUCAGAGGGGGACACAGACAUCUAUGGCCAGAAUAAUUUAGUAGGCGUUGCCCAUCAGAGGGUCAGCAACACAGGGCUGGUGAUAGUUCUAAGCUUCCUGCCUGCCCUGCUUCAGGUUAGCUUGUGACCUGGAUCCUCCAUCUCACAGAGCCCUAAAAAUGGUCAUCACACUCAUUCCCUAGCAACAAUGCUUUUUAACAGCCAUGUCCUAUUGGAGAGGUCAUAAACCCUAUAAUUUUAUAGCCUUCUCUCCUCUCCCCCCUUUCACUUCCACUCCCAUGCUGUCAAGGCAUUAAUAGGGAAGGGUGGGCUGAAAGCAAAAGCCAUUGCUUAAAUGUUAAUAAAAGUAAAUAUUUUUGGAUUGAAACUGGGUCUUCUUGAGAAAAUUUUACUCAUCUUCUGUUUCUCUUACUUGCCUAACAUGGAUUGCAAUUUGUCAAUUCUUAUUUGAGUGUGUGUCGAGAGUAGAAGCUCUAUAGGGCAGGAACCCUGUCUAUUUACAUUGUGUCUCUUCCCUUUCUUUUUCUCCCCUCACACUCAAUACAUGGGCAUGAUAUGAUAGCAAUCCAUUUUUCUUUGAGGGUAGAAAGACUGAAAAGAAUGAGAAAAUCUGGAUUAAAGUUCAAGCUACAACACUAGUUCACCAUUAGAACUUGGGUAUGCAACUUCCCUUAUACUUACUUCAGUUUCCCCAUUGUUAAAUAAGGAGAUUGGAGUCACUGAUCUGUAAGGACCCUUCCAACUAUAA